rnacentral:rRNA from 1 species
UACGGAGGGUGCAAGCGUUAUCCGGAUUCACUGGGUUUAAAGGGUGUGUAGGCGGGCCAUUAAGUCUGUGGUGAAAUCUCCGAGCUCAACUCGGAAACUGCCUUGGAUACUAUUGGCCUUGAAUUAUGUUGAGGUUGGCGGAAUAUAACAUGUAGCGGUGAAAUGCAUAGAUAUGUUAUAGAACACCGAUUGCGAAGGCAGCUAACUAAGCAUAUAUUGACGCUGAUGCACGAAAGCGUGGGGAUCAAACAGG